AUUGAACGCUGGCGGCACGCCUAACACAUGCAAGUCGAGCGGUAGCAUGAUUAGUAGCAAUACUAAUUGAUGACGAGCGGCGGACGGGUGAGUAAUACGUAGGAACCUGCCCUCAAGCGGGGGAUAACUAAGGGAAACUUUAGCUAAUACCGCAUAAUCUCGAGAGAGUAAAGCUGCAGCAAUGUGGCACUUGAGGAGGGGCCUGCGUCAGAUUAGCUAGUUGGUGAGGUAAUAGCUCACCAAGGCGAUGAUCUGUAACUGGUCUGAGAGGACGACCAGUCACACUGGGACUGGGACACGGCCCAGACUCCUACGGGAGGCAGCAGUGGGGAAUAUUGGACAAUGGGGGCAACCCUGAUCCAGCGAGGCCGCGUGGGUGAAGAAGGCCUUCGGGUUGUAAAGCCCUUUAGGUUGGGAAGAAGGUUAGUGGAGGGAAUGCCAUUAAUUUGACGGUACCAACAGAAUAAGCACCGGCAAACUCUGUGCCAGCAGCCGCGGUAA
rnacentral:rRNA from 1 species